AUCGUGGAUGCUCUUAGAUUUGCUGAGAUGGCUUUGUAUUGUUUCUCAAAAUCCUAAACCGGAGUCUCUUUCUUUACCUCUCUCUCUCGAACCCAUCGUCUCUUCAUCUCCAUCUCUCCUCCGUGGUGCUUGCCGGUCAGUUUCUCCGUGGCUUUCCGAGGAAGCAGAGCACGACAAAGUUUUGCGGCGAAGUUACCAAAGAGGAAUCUGCUGGCUAAUGUUCAAAAGGCCUCUACGGUGGCUUAGAAUGCUCAUCGAAGAGCUUCACUGGAGCUUCUUCUUCGGUGUAAUUGUCGUCUACGGCGUUAGCCAAGCUCUCAGUAAAGGUUUUGGUUACAGGAGACGACCCUAUUUCAUAUUCGCUGGGGAAUGAUUUUACUCCUUUUGAAGGUUAUUUGAUGGGAGAGUUGAGGAUGCACUUUUGAUGUCUCUCAUGAUGAAGUGCAGUAAGAAGAAAGAGAGGUUUGCUUUACAGGAUAAACCACAAGAACUACUUGAAAAACGGCCGUGUAGUUACAUCUCCGGCGGUCAACAACACGGAGACCGAUUGAAUAACUGCAGAUGAAGAUGUGAUUGGAUAUGAUUUUCUAGUGACAGCUACUGGUCACAACGACCUGUUCCCCAAAACCAGACAAGAAAAUCUCUCACAGUACCAAACAUAAUAUGAGAAGAUCAGAUCUUCUAAAUCAGUUCUGAUUGUCGGUGGAGGACCUUCUGGUGUGGAACUAGCUGCAGAAAUCGCUGUUCAGCUUCAGACGGAAACAAAACAUACCGGACUUCAGGAGGAGAGACUAUACACGCAGAUUGUCAUUUCCUCUGUGUUGGGAAAUCUCUGUCUUCUCAAUGGCUCAGUGGGGCUGUUUUGAAAGAUAGCUUGGGUCAGAGAUGGUCAUUGUUUCUUUAGGAAGAAAAGACUCGUUGGCUCUGUUUCCGUUUGCGACAGUCGUUGGUUGCCUCCCUGGUUUGAUCAAGUCGAAGGAUCUAUUUGUAAGGAAGACGAGGAAGACAGGCUCUGUUUCCGUUUGCGACAGUCGUUGGUUGCCUCCCUGGUUUGAUCAAGUCGAAGGAUCUAUUUGUAAGGAAGACGAGGAAGACAAGAGGGCUAAAUCCUAAACUUGUUCAAGAUUGAGUCAUUUAGUAUGUUUCAGAGGUUUCAUCUUGUGUGUGCUUUUUUUCUCUUUCGUGCGACCUCUUUGUUUCAUUGUGGAGUGAGUGUAGGUUUGCGUAUGUUAGUUUGUGUGUUGUAUCUUUGAUGUACUAUUGAUAUUAUUUGAAUCAAAUAAAAAACCGGAAGAAUAGUUAACCAAACGGAAA